rnacentral:rRNA from 1 species
GAUGAGGACAGGGUUGAGAACUUGUUCUGGAUUGAUGGCGCAUCACGCUGGGCAUAUGCGAAGUAUAAUGACUGUUUGUCAUUCGACACGACAUACAUGACAAACAUGUACAAGAUGUCGUGUGCACCAUUCAUUGGAAUUAAUAACCAUGGUCAAUCCAUCCAGUUUGGGUGUGGCUUUGUUCGAGACGAACUAAAGGAGAACUUUGUGUGGUUGUUCAACACCUUCCUCCAUGCAAUGGGUGGUGUUGCCCCAAAAAACUUCAUCACAGGUCAAGACUUUGCAAUGAGGAGUGCUAUCGACGAGGUCUUCUUGAACAUAAUACACAGAAAUUGCUGCUAGCAUAUAAUGAAGAAGGUGGGGGAGAAACUUGGAAAGUUUAUUCCUGAUGAUAAACCACUAAAGAAAGCGUUCAAAGACUAUGUCGACAACAACUUGACAGGUACGUACCUACUCUAUUGA